rnacentral:rRNA from 1 species
AUGCAACUACAUGCAGACAACCAAACUAUGUGCAUCUGGGGUCUUUUUGCCUGCAUCUCCUCAAACCGGCUCACUAGAGCCAGGCUCGCCGGGCCAGACUCGAUUGGCAAUGUAACCAAACACGCCCCAAGUUUCCUUCACACUUUAUUUCCCACGAUAUUCCUCACGAUAUGUCAGACGGAGAGGUGGCUGCUGGAACAUAUUUGUUUGUGGAUUGAGCCAGGGGCUCUAGCCAUAGCAAGUGUUUCGCUCUACUCGAAGACUUUAGGUGGGUGUGUUGUUUUCAGUGGUUUGGUUUCCCUAAGAAAAUCGCUUGCUGAGAGGGUGCCACUUGAAGCCAGAAAGACUCCGGUUUUUUGGUUCCAUGGGAUGGCAGACCGCAGAUGGGGUGGUACUGUUUGA